UACGAAGGGGGCUAGCGUUGCUCGGAAUGACUGGGCGUAAAGGGCGCGUAGGCGGUUUGUCCAGUCAGGUGUGAAAUUCCCGGGCUCAACCUGGGGGCUGCACUUGAUACGUAGGAACUGGAGUGGGGAAGAGGGUCGUGGAAUUCCCAGUGUAGAGGUGAAAUUCGUAGAUAUUGGGAAGAACACCGGUGGCGAAGGCGGCGACCUGGUCCGUGACUGACGCUGAGGCGCGAAAGCGUGGGGAGCAAACAGG
rnacentral:rRNA from 1 species